rnacentral:RNase_P_RNA from 1 species
UGCUCACAUACGAUAGUACUCACUCUCUGAGUGAGAGGAAAGUCCUGGCAUCAUAACUAUGGUAGCAGCUCACGGCUGCUGCAUCUUCUCGAUUAGGAGGGUAAACGACAGUGCCACAGAGACUAUACUCGUCCACUUCGGUGCGACCAAAGGUGAAAUGCAGAGGUGAACUAUCUCAAUGAUAGGGCUACUCUUCCUGAGUCUGAUAGACUUCAGACCAGUGGUAAACCGUACCUGAUGCAAGCGUCUCUCCUUCAAGUAGAGCGUGCACGAUAGUGCUACAAGCACUCAUAGACAAAUUCUAUCUACGACAGAACCAGGCUUAUGUAUGUGAGUAAUAA